AGUGAACGCUGGCGGUAGGCCUAACACAUGCAAGUCGAACGGCAGCACAGUAAGAGCUUGCUCUUACGGGUGGCGAGUGGCGGACGGGUGAGGAAUACAUCGGAAUCUACUUUUUCGUGGGGGAUAACGUAGGGAAACUUACGCUAAUACCGCAUACGACCUACGGGUGAAAGCAGGGGAUCUUCGGACCUUGCGCGAUUGAAUGAGCCGAUGUCGGAUUAGCUAGUUGGCGGGGUAAAGGCCCACCAAGGCGACGAUCCGUAGCUGGUCUGAGAGGAUGAUCAGCCACACUGGAACUGAGACACGGUCCAGACUCCUACGGGAGGCAGCAGUGGGGAAUAUUGGACAAUGGGCGCAAGCCUGAUCCAGCCAUACCGCGUGGGUGAAGAAGGCCUUCGGGUUGUAAAGCCCUUUUGUUGGGAAAGAAAAGCAGCAGGUUAAUACCCCGCUGUUCUGACGGUACCCAAAGAAUAAGCACCGGAUAAUUUCGG
rnacentral:rRNA from 1 species